rnacentral:tRNA from 1 species
GCGGGAGUAGCUCAGUUGGUAGAGCACAACCUUGCCAAGGUUGAGGUCGCGAGUUCGAGACUCGUCUCCCGCUCCA